CAGCCGCCGCGGUAAUACGGAGGGGGCUAGCGUUGUUCGGAAUUACUGGGCGUAAAGCGCACGUAGGCUGCUUUGUAAGUCAGAGGUGAAAGCCCGGGGCUCAACCCCGGAUGUGCCUUUGAGACUGCAGGGCUAGAACGUCGGAGAGGUGAGUGGAAUUCCGAGUGUAGAGGUGAAAUUCGUAGAUAUUCGGAAGAACACCAGUGGCGAAGGCGGCUCACUGGACGACUGUUGACGCUGAGGUGCGAAAGCGUGGGGAGCAAACAGGAUUAGAUACCCCCGUAGUCCCUGUCUCUUAUAC
rnacentral:rRNA from 1 species